UGUAACGUGGAGCCUGGUCGCCCCAGCCCUGGAGAGGGGGACCCUGCCCGCACCCUCCUGGUCUGGGGAGGGCCUAGUGGCAGCCCAGGUGCAGUGGGCCGGAGGCCAGGGGAGCCCGUGUAGGGGAACCGCCUGGCCUCUGUUCAGUGUGCCCCUCCCCUGGGUGGGGCUUCAGGCGCUGAGUCACGGCUUUGGUUGGGGGGCAGCCUCACCCUCCUCCCCAUCCUCCAAGCUGCUGAGGAAAUCCUGGGCUGAGCACAGCAGAGGAGGCCUAGGUCCCCAGGACUGAGGAAGGGAGAGCUGAGGGGCUCCCAGCAGUGGGAGCGGCUCUCGGGGCCUCUGCCAGGGCCCACCCUGUCCCCAUGUGCACGUCCGUGAGCUCCUGGGUGCAGCCACCCCCCCCCUGCUGGCUCUCCAGGGACACGGGCGCCCCAAACCCGAGGGCGGCAGCUCUGGGUGCAGCUGUCUCUGCAUCCGGCCCUGCUCAGGGGUGGCUGCAACUCCUGGGGUGUGGCGCUCUCUGCUGCCUUCUCCUGGGAGGAUGGUCCCUUCUCUGUUCUGGGAUCCUCCAGCUGAGGUAGAGGUCAGAGUCCAGGGGCUGCAGGCCGGGCGCUGGCGGUCAGCGGACACCACAGCGAGAUUCCCUCCAUCGCCCCCUGCUUCGGGAUUCAGAGUCCUCUUAGCCCCUUGGGAACAAGUGAGGGCUGCUCAGAGAGGACCUAGUGUCCUGCUGGGGUGGCUGGGACCCUUCAAGGUCCCUGGCUGGGGCAGCCUGGUGCCUGCAGCUCCAGCUCCUAAUUGAGGACACGCCCCAUGUAAACCACAGGCCCCUCCCCCGAGGCCUGGGACACCGGUCAGGGUAGCAAGGUACGAGGGACUGUAGGCCCUGAUGGCCUCUGCUCCUGGACCCCUGCCCUAGACCUGUCCCUGGAGUCCUGGCCCCAGCCCGGGCCCUGUGGUGUCCAAUCCCCAGGAGGCCAGAUGGCCCGGACAGCCAGUGAGCCGAUUGUGUGGAGGGCUGCCGGGAUCCUGGCCCUGUUUCCCUGUUGCCUGCUCCCGGAGGGGGUGGUCACAUGCCCGAUCCAUCUGCCUCCUGUCUUCCGGGGAUUCUCCCGCCGAGGCUUCUCUGGUGAUGUCAUGCCUUAACUCUUCUCUCCCCAGGCAGCCCCACUGUCAGGCUGUCCUGGUGGGAGUGGGCUCUGAGGAGGACGGCCUACCCGUCUUUCCAGUGGACCGUGCCGCUUGCAGCUGUGAGGUUGGGGGAGCCGGGGGCGUCUCUCCCCAGCUGGUCUGGGUCCUCCUGGUGCUGCCAGGACCGAGAGCAGCUGCCCUACUGCCCCCACCCUGUCCCACAGUGCAUGGGCGCCAGACCUGGGUGGGUGCAGUAGUGCAGUGGGGUGAGGGGAGGUGCCGCAGGGUUGAGGGGCUCCAGAUGGGUCCAGGGUUGACUCUGAACUCCUAGAGGAGAGGCAGGUGAGGCUGGCUCAGCCCUUGGUGGGCACCGUCCCUGAGGGACUCCCAGCGGCCGGCUGUCCUGGGAGAGGCUGGUCCAGCCUUCUUCCCCGAGGGCACAGCAGCGGCUGCCUCUGCCUGCCUGGGGUUGGGAGGGCGGGGGGAAGUGCACUGAACCUGGUCCCAGUCCUGCCCCCGUAGCAGGCAGGCGUCUGUCUCCCAGCCCGUUUCCUGAAAGCCCCUUCCCAUGGUGGAGCCCCUCAGGGAGGUGCAGGGGGAGGUGAAGCCCCGAGGGGGCCGAGGCUGCAGGUGACCCCAGCCAGCCCCGUUCUUGCUUUAGGGCGACCAUUGACGAGGUGGAGACGGACGUGGUGGAGAUUGAGGCCAAACUGGACAAGCUGGUGAAGCUGUGCAGUGGCAUGGUGGAAGCCGGUAAGGCCUACGUCAGCACCAGCAGGCUGUUCGUGAGCGGCGUCCGCGACCUGUCCCAGCAGUGCCAGGGCGACACCGUCAUCUCGGAAUGUCUGCAGAGGUUCGCUGACAGCCUACAGGAGGUGGUGAACUACCACAUGAUCCUGUUUGACCAGGCCCAGAGGUCCGUGCGGCAGCAGCUCCAGAACUUUGUCAAAGAGGAUGUGCGGAAGUUCAAGGAGACAAAGAAGCAGUUUGACAAGGUGCGGGAGGACCUGGAGCUGUCCCUGGUGAGGAACGCCCAGGCCCCGAGGCACCGGCCCCACGAGGUGGAGGAAGCCACCGGGGCCCUCACCCUCACCAGGAAGUGCUUCCGCCACCUGGCACUGGACUAUGUGCUCCAGAUCAAUGUUCUGCAGGCCAAGAAGAAGUUUGAGAUCCUGGACUCUAUGCUGUCCUUCAUGCACGCCCAGUCCAGCUUCUUCCAGCAGGGCUACAGCCUCCUGCACCAGCUGGACCCCUACAUGAAGAAGCUGGCAGCCGAGGUGAGCCUUUGGGAAGGGUGGGGCUGGGCCAGGCCUCCGUGACCUUCCCUAAUGCCACCCCCAACAGCUGGACCAGCUGGUGAUCGACUCUGCGGUGGAAAAGCGUGAGAUGGAGCGAAAGCACGCCGCCAUCCAGCAGCGGACGCUGCUGCAGGACUUCUCCUACGAUGAGUCCAAAGUGGAGUUUGACGUGGACGCGCCCAGUGGGGUGGUGAUGGAGGGCUACCUCUUCAAGAGGGCCAGCAACGCUUUCAAGACGUGGAACCGGCGCUGGUUCUCCAUUCAGAACAGCCAGCUGGUCUACCAGAAGAAGCUCAAGGAUGCCCUCACCGUGGUGGUGGAUGACCUCCGCCUGUGCUCUGUGAAGCCGUGUGAGGACAUCGAGCGGAGGUUCUGCUUCGAGGUGCUGUCACCCACCAAGUGAGGAGGCCCAGCCCAGGGUGGGGUGGGGGGCGUACCUGCCCACCGGAGCUGACGCCCGCCCCUCCACUGCCUGCAGGAGCUGCAUGCUGCAGGCUGACUCCGAGAAGCUGCGGCAAGCCUGGGUCCAGGCUGUGCAGGCCAGCAUCGCCUCCGCCUACCGCGAGAGCCCUGACAGUUGCUAUAGCGAGAGGCUGGACCGCACAGCAUCCCCGUCCACGAGCAGCAUCGACUCCGCCACCGACACUCGGGAGCGCGGCGUGAAGGGCGAGAG
rnacentral:sRNA from 1 species